UGCAUUGUUCAUGACUGAGAAGGAUGAACAUGACAAGCAUUUACACAGUGUGCUGGAGUGACUUGCUGAUGAGUAGCUGACUGUCAAUGCAUACAAGUGCACAUUCAGGAUGAGUGUUUAUGGGACUGUUGCUCAGUAAGAAUGGAAUUGGGCCAACUGAGGAGAAAGUCAAAGCUGUUGUGGAAGCAAAUCAGCCACAGACACUAUCCCAAGUUUAUGGGAUUCUGGGAUUUUUCACCCGGUUAUUCCCAGAUUUUUACAAGGCUGCUGACCCUGUAAGGAAACUAGCAAGGAAAGGAGAGCCAUUAUUUGUGGUGAAAAGCAGAAGUUAUUUGAAAAUUUAAAAGUCAAGUUGCAAGUGCACCAGUAUCAGCACACUUUGACAAGGACACAUUCACCCUAGUUAUUGCUAAUGUCAGUCCAGUAGGUCUAUAAGCAGUUCUGGUGAAGGGAACAAUGGAGAGAGUUGUGCUCUUUGCAUUGCCAGUCAAAGAAAAGCAGAGGGCCAUUACAGCCAAACUGAAAAGGAAGCAGUGGCUUGGCAUGUGAAUGCUUUCACCUUUACUUGUAUGGAAUCCCAAAGUUUGAUGUAGAAGUAGACCAUGAAGCACUCAAAGUCACAUAUUCAAGGAAGCCCUCAGCCACAAUAGCACAUCAGGUUUUCUAUCUUCAAUCCUAAAACUAUCAAGAAAGAAUAAAGUGGAUACCUUCUCCCACCUGACAAAGAUACCUCAGUGAAAAAUGAUGGAUAUGUACAUGUGGUAGUCUUGCACACUGUUCCAACUGCAUUGAGGAUCAUAGAGAUUGAAUGGGUUUUGGCUCAAGAUCCACAGUUGCAAGUAGUCAAAAAAUGCCCAAUCAAAGGAAACUGUAACUAUGCUCCUCAGCCAUAAUUACCUAUGUGCAAUGAGUUAACUUUCAUUGGUCAUAAUAUUUUUACAAGGAAAAUUGAAUUGUACCCCAACUUCUUUGUAAGAGAGUUGUCAGCUUGGCAUGCAAAGAACACCAAGGAGUCAUAAAGACAAAAGAAAGACUGAGAACAAAAGUCUGGUGGCCUGGACAGUGUUAUGGAUGCCAGCUGGUCACAAAGAAUAUUCCACCACCAUAAGUGAAACCAACAAUGUUGCCUCACCAACCAUGAGAAGAAGCUGUCUAUCUAAUGGGCCCAUUACAGUCCUGAGAAUACCACUUUGUUCUUGUUGACUAUAAGAGCUGGUGGAUGGAAAUCAAUGUCAUCAAAACCUCCAAACAAACCAUUAUUCAUUGCCUGGUUGUCCAGUUUGAAAGAUAUGAACUACCCAGAGGUCUGUGGACCAACAAUGAGUCUAACCUUGUUUCCAAGGAGAUAGAAGAUUGUUGAAAAGGGGAUUGAGCGCUGUAACAUAACACCUCUAUGGCCAAGAGCAAAUGGUGACAUAAAAGGCAAAACAGUUCUUUGCUGAAAUCACUGAGGGCAGCUCACAGCAAAAGGAAAUAAAAUACCACUAAAAUGCUUGAGCUCUCUGAUGUAGAGAAUAAGGAAAUAAAAAUGAGUAAUCAAAGAGUCCAUGGUCAAAAUAACCAGAGAAUAAUUCUCUGGUUAUUAGUCUAACAGACUUUGUUGAUGAUACAUUUUUGGCUAGAGACUGAAACGUAACAGACACAGUUACUUGAGAGACAGCUCUGCCAGAGAAGAAGAAGAAGAAGAAGAAGAAAAAAAAAACAAGUUGUCAGCUUUCUAUAAGAAGGAAGUGUAUGAGGUAAUGCUGCACUUUGGGGUCAAGUGGUUUUAAGUUUAGCACAGGGCACCCAGUACAAGCAAAACCUUUAAUUAACACAUGAAGCCAUUUCAUGUACCAGUUCAUGAAGACCAGAAAACAACACCACAGGACACUGGCUGCACCUAAAACUACUGUGGUAACUCCUAAAGAAGAGAAUCCUGUCCCAGCAGCAGAAGUUCCACCAGAGGUUGUGUCCACUACUGUACCAAUAGCUGAGAAGCCAUUAAGGAGAUCUAGCAGGAUUAUCAACUGUCCAAAGGUGCAAAGCUUUCAAGCCAGAAAGGAAGGGAUGUAGUAAAUCAGGACAGUGGUCUCAGAAACAUGCGGGAACUCUGAGAGCAAGAGGCUUUGACUCUGUUGAGCUAAAGACAUAGUACAGUUACAAUAGCUUCAUUUAAUCUUUCCACCUCAUUGGCUAGUUGUUCUAUUGGCUCCUUGAAACGACUUGAUCCUAUGAUGUCUUCUAAGUACUCAAGCAUUCCUUCUUCAUGCUCUGACUGUGCUUUUGGCUUCAUCAUGGAAAUUUGUUCAACUUCUCCCUGAUGAAAUAAUUAUAU